UCUUUGAGACCCCAGGCAGGGAAGGGGCCUGUCCUCCCUCCAGGGUCACUUCCUUUCCUCAGUGGGGCUCUCAGUCUGAGCCAUCUGGUCUGCACAGCUCCUCCCAAAGGACCCUCAGACUCAGUCCAGAUGUGAGGCAUGGGGAAGAAGGGACACGUUUUCCUACCUGCCCCAUAGUUUAACAGAACUGCUCCUGCCCACAAAGUUGGUUUCUUUGGGAUGGAGUGCCCAAGGCUUGUGAUUAGAAACAGCUGCAGAAACAAGAGGAAAACAUCUUCUAAAAAUAAGUAGCGCCUUGGAACACAGUGUGCCAGGACUUGUAGGAGGUGGAUGGGGAUGUGAGAUCUAGAGCGGCCACAAGGAGAGCUCUCAUUCUCACACACAAGGUGACUGUUUCUGUUGUCAGCUGCUCCCAGGAGGCUCUGUGAAUUUGAUCUCGGGACCAGGGGCAGAAAAAUUGGACUCAUCCUUCCACUAAGGAAUGUGAAGACUUCCUUCAGGAGUUCAAACUGCUUCUAAGCGAUACCCAUCGAGAGACAUCACUACUACUGUGACUCUUUCAGUUGUCUCCAUUGGGGAAGUCAGCUGUGAAGAUAACUCAGCAGAAGCAAAGGCUAAAGGAAAACAAAGACUAAUUCCAGUAUUUUCUCUGAGUGUAAGGAAAAAAGACCUGAAAAAAACCCAAUGACUGACCGAGUAGGAAUGAAUGGAAAGUAAGUUCUGGCACUCCAGCUUCAUGGAAUGAAAGGGUAAAAUAAUACGUGCCUAUGAUCAGGGAUGGAAGGGAAGAGAGAAUGACAGCAAUUGCAUCUUGGUGAGGUGAUAAAUGAUCCUCCUCCUUUCUUAAGCCUUUAAAAAUAUAUACAUUGUUUUGAGUGUGUGUUUCAAUGAAAAGAAAGAAGAUUUACAUUUCUGCUCAUCUCCAUAAAUAAAAAUCUUCUAAAUGUGAGAUCCUGUGAAAUUUGAGUUGAUUUAAUUCUGGUUUAGAAAUAAAAAAA